UUUUAUAAGAUGAAUAAUUCAGUAUCUGUUGUAAAAGUGUGCGUAUUGUCCUUGCGGAAUAGAUAGUUAUGGUGUCCACAAUUUAUUUUAAAAGCUUUUUGCUUAUUUAAAGUUAAUCCAUUUUUGAUGUGUGCUUUCUCAGAGCUGUCCGUAAAAGCGUACCCGCCAUUUCCGGAUAUUAAAGUAACCAAGAAUUCAUAACGACGAUUAAUUGUAAUAUCAAGGGAGUGAAUAUUUGAGCGAUUUGUGAUUUGAUUAUUGAAUAGUAGUGUUGGAAGGAGGGCGCAGCAUUGUGCGAUGGCAGGUUUGUAUGUAUGUUAUUUUGAUUCCUGUUUGAAGAACUUGGGGGAUUCAAGGUUAAUGCAUAAAAUCCGAAAUAUUUGGUACCUCGAAAUUUUCGCCUUCUUGAAGAACUUGAACAAGGUCAGAAAGGAGUUGGCGAUGGUACCAUCAGCUGGGGCCUGGA